CAUUACCGAGAGUAAAUGGAUGUGCAUAUUCAUCUCUGGGAAUUCCGCGGCAUUCUUCUCGUUUCUUCCCGCGGCGAAAUUCCGAUCUUAGUUUCAACGUUCCUCAAGCUCGAUCAACCUCAGAGCCCUGAGAUCAGAAAGGACGAGAUCUAGGAGGAAAGCUUAAAAGCAUCACUACAUGGUAAAGACAGAGUUGGGAUGCCAGAGGCAUGAGAUCAAACGAGGUCAAAGUGGAUAGGCUCUGACCAUUUUGGGGUGUGCCUUUGGGUUCAUGAAUGGAACUAGAAGCUGCUCUGUGGUUUUGUUAGACUCGCACUUGCGGCCUUACCUAUGGGAAUGUUAAAAGCUUGGUAGUCCAUCAUAAAUCUGUUGCUUCUUCGUUUGGGACUAGCUAUGAAUAAGGCGAAAACUGCCCCUCAUAGGCACCAACAUCAACAUCCAAAAAGUUGAAUAUCAACUACAUUGUGGAAAGACUGCCUUGUAAUUAUCUAAGCUUCCCUUUAGGUGGAAAUUUUCGAUCGUUUGCUUUCAGGGAUUCGCUUGAGGACAAAGCAAGUCUAAGUUAGAUAAAUGGGGAGAGAGAGAGAGAGAACCCGACUUCUUUCAAAAGCUAGGAGAUUGAUUUUGGCAAAGUCCGUCCUGAAUAGUCUCACUAUCAAUUAUUUUUCUCUUUAGGUAGUUCCUUGGGCUGGGAUUCCAUCUACCUAUGGCCCUUAGGUUGUUCUCUUCCUUUUUUCUGGAAUAUAAAUCCUUGUUUCUUGUAAAAACUGUUGUAAAGGUUAGUUCAUAUAAAAUGUGAGUUUUAUAGCAUAAGUUUAUGUGCUUGUAUCGAAGGAUAAGCAAACGGACCUAUCUAACAUAGGUUCGACUUCUUAAAGUUGUAAGGUUCCUC